UACGUAGGGGGCAAGCGUUGUCCGGAUUUAUUGGGCGUAAAGAGCGUGUAGGCGGCCGCACAGGUCCGUUGUGAAAACUGGAGGCUUAACCUUCAGACGUCGAUGGAAACCGUGCGGCUAGAGUCCGGAAGAGGAGAGUGGAAUUCCUGGUGUAGCGGUGAAAUGCGCAGAUAUCAGGAGGAACACCGGUGGCGAAGGCGGGUCUCUGGGCCGAUACUGACGCUGAGGAGCGAAAGCGUGGGGAGCGAACAGG
rnacentral:rRNA from 1 species